UAGUGACUAUUUAAACUGGGCUGAGG
rnacentral:piRNA from 1 species